rnacentral:rRNA from 1 species
AUUGAACGCUGGCGGAACGCUUUACACAUGCAAGUCGAACGGCAGCACGGGUGCUUGCACCUGGUGGCGAGUGGCGAACGGGUGAGUAAUACAUCGGAACGUACCCAGUUGUGGGGGAUAACUAACCGAAAGGUUAGCUAAUACCGCAUACGACCUGAGGGUGAAAGCGGGGGACCGUAAGGCCUCGCGCAAUUGGAGCGGCCGAUGUCUGAUUAGCUAGUUGGUAGGGUAAAGGCCUACCAAGGCGACGAGCAGUAGCUGGUCUGAGAGGAUGAUCAGCCACACUGGAACUGAGACACGGUCCAGACUCCUACGGGAGGCAGCAGUGGGGAAUUUUGGACAAUGGGCGAAAGCCUGAUCCAGCCAUUCCGCGUGAGUGAAGAAGGCCUUCGGGUUGUAAAGCUCUUUCGGCAGGGAAGAAACGGCCUAGGUUAAUACCUUGGGCUAAUGACGGUACCUGAAGAAGAAGCACCGGCUAACUACGUGCCAGCCGCCGCCGUAA